GAUGAACGCUGGCGGCGUGCUUAACACAUGCAAGUCGAACGAAGCACUUGAGAACGAUUCUUCGGAUGAGGACUUUUGUGACUGAGUGGCGGACGGGUGAGUAACGCGUGGGUAACCUGCCCUAUACAGGGGGAUAACAGUUAGAAAUGACUGCUAAUACCGCAUAAGCGCACUAGAACCGCAUGGUUCGGUGUGAAAAACUGAGGUGGUAUAGGAUGGACCCGCGUCUGAUUAGCUUGUUGGUGAGGUAACGGCUCACCAAGGCGACGAUCAGUAGCCGGCCUGAGAGGGCGACCGGCCACAUUGGGACUGAGACACGGCCCAA
rnacentral:rRNA from 1 species